rnacentral:rRNA from 1 species
UACGUAGGGUGCGAGCGUUGUCCGGAAUUAUUGGGCGUAAAGAGCUCGUAGGUGGCUUGCCACGUCGGGUGUGAAAUCCCAGGGCUUAACUCUGGGUCUGCAUUCGAUACGGGCUGGCUAGGGUCCUUCAGGGGAGACUGGAAUUCCUGGUGUAGCGGUGAAAUGCGCAGAUAUCAGGAGGAACACCGAUGGCGAAGGCAGCUCGCUGGGACGGUACUGACGCUGAGGAGCGAAAGCGUGGGGAGCGAGCAGG